rnacentral:sRNA from 1 species
CUUGCAGCAAUGUAAACUGAAGUCCUAUAUUUAUUCACGGUCUAGGUGUGGUGCAGGCAGCCACAAUGCGGGCUCCCAUACACUGCCACCUUGGUAAUGAUCUCCACCCUGACCUGGAGGAUCCGUCCUCUCUAGGGGUGUAAAGGUAAUUUCAGCCUUCAUGCUAGCCUAGAGGUAUGGGGUUGUU